rnacentral:tRNA from 1 species
AAAUAGCUAGUUUAUAAAGAACAUUUGAUUUGCAAUCAAAAAGUGACAAGCCUCGCUAUUCU